CUCUUUGGACACACCCUUUAAUUAUUCCUGUGGAUGUAAUGCGCAUGCGCGCUCAUUCCCCAUGUGAGAAAUAAUAUCCAAGAUCCAGAUCUAGAUCCUCCUGGCAGAAUCAUCUUUGUCUUGAGGGCCUGAUCUUUUCUUCUUAGAUAUUAUAUACACUGAACUGGAUCCUGGAAGAAUCAAUUUUCUUCUUUCUUGAGGUCCUG